GUGCUCACUUCGGCAGCACAUAUACUAAAAUUGGAACAAUACAGAUAUUAGCAUGGCCCUUGCGCAAGGAUGAUGCAAAUUCGUGAAGCCUUUCAUAUUUUU